GGGGGGCACACGAGCGGGAAAGGUAAGAGUGAGACCGGUGGAAUAUAUGUGUCGAGGAAGUGGCUGUUAGUGGCCCUGUUAGCGCUGCGCGAGCGUUAGCGCUGUGCUACUGGCGUGUCACAGUGAUAUUUACCGACAGUGGCUGGAGUCGAAGUUUAUUGAAGACUUUCUCCAUCGAUGUUAACAGGGGCGAGGCUCCAGCUCACCCGUGACGACAAGCGCAAUUGACGACGGAAGGACGUGUGCGCUGCUUCGAAAUUAAUCCUCCGAGAACAGAACUUUCAAGUCACGUCCUCGACAAUGCUCAUUACUGCGCCGCCUCCGCCUCCCCAUUAUGGUUAUUCCUGAGUGAGAAGAUUGAAGCCGCCGCCGCAUGAUCUCCACGAGUCUCUCAGAACGCGGCACAUCGUCGUUCACGCCGUUAGAGGUGUGUUGUAAAGAUUUCAGGCCCGCUGUCAGGAAACAAAUUCUAAAACCCAAAAUGCUCGUUGCUGGCCCGACUAUUAACGAGCGCUUCUACCGAGAGAUUCUGCGGCAUUUGCGAGUUGAUCUGCUUCACCGUGACAACGCACCUGCUCGCAAUACCCUGAGCGUCCGAAGGUUCCUGGCCGAGAAAAAACGACCGCGGUGCCGGAGCAACCUGCCUACCAUCCUGGCACCGUGUAAAUUUAUCACUGUUCAGUUGUGUUUAUUUUUUUCCACACAGCAUAAAUAUUUGCUCACUUCAUCUCAUACAGUAAAUUAAACCUGUAAGAAAGUAAAAUUUUCAAAUAAUUGUGCUAUUAAUAGACCUUAGGAAGGGAAUCCAGCGCCGAUUGAGCGAGGGUUUCGGUAACCCCUCCUCAGUACCGCUUCCUGAAAUCAGAGCGAGAUGAGAGGAGCGCUCCGCU